rnacentral:rRNA from 3 species
AACUUUCAACAACGGAUCUCUUGGUUCUCGCAUCGAUGAAGAACGCAGCAAAAUGCGAUAAGUAUUGUGAAUUGCAGGAUUUUGUGAAUCAUCGAAUUUUUGAACGCACAUUGCACCUUCUGGUAUUCCGGAGGGUAUACCUGUUUGAGCGUCAUUU